rnacentral:tRNA from 1 species
GGUGGGAUCGCAUAGUGGUCUAGUGCGCGCGCUUGGAAAGCGCGUAUAGAUGAAAGUCUAUCGUGGGUUCAAAUCCCACUCCCACCG